GAGGGUAUAGCUCAGUGGUAGGGUGCGUGUUAGCAUGCACAAGGUCCUGGGUUUAAGCCCCAGUACCUCCA
rnacentral:tRNA from 1 species